GGCUUUUCAGUGGUUUCACCAGCAAGCUGUUGUUAUUCAGCGUCACUUCACCAGUAGCAUGGGUGAUGCGGUCUUCUUGCAGCGGAAUAUCUAGGUGUAAGCGCCCACUAACUUUACCACCCACUUGCAGUUCUUCUAGCGUUUCAGCCACCGAAUCAUUCAACGGUGUUUGGGUAAAGUAGUCAUGAACAUCGCGACCUUCGCCCACCACCUCAGCAUCGACAUACAGCUUUUCUUUCAGGUAAUCAGGAAUGAUCGCGCUGAUAUUGCGACCCGUGACGUUACCCAGCAUCGUGUGAGGGGCAUCCAUCCACAAACCUUCAUUGAGGAAAUUCAGAUCGAUGGCUAAAUUCUCUAAUGCAGGCCAAUCCGGUUGGAACUGGAAAGUCGCGUCACGCAG
rnacentral:ncRNA from 1 species